GUGCUUCCAGAUGGCGUUGAUUCGCCUUCAUCAUCGCCGGAGCCAAAACUGCCGAGUAGUCCCAAAACUCCCUGUACAACGCAAAAAAAAAACUGUUCCAAACACAUCAAAUAUUCCCGAUGAUUCCGACGAUGUCGGCAAUUGCUGGGCGGUUUUGUUGUGGCUGCUGUUAUCCGAGUCUUCGAGUCCAAAGAUAUCGCCAAGAAAGUCGAGCCCAAAUGAAUGGACAGUGGCCAAGGAGCCGAGAAGGCACAACCAGAUUAGCAGAUUCAUGACGGCUUGUGAAUGAAUUGGUUUUCUUCUAUCCUGCACCAACAAGCAGAUAUGAUCAAAUGUCUAACAAGAUGCGGAUACAUUUCGUUUUUGACGGCUGCUCUCGAGCUGAUUAUUCUCAAUAACCCUGAAUCUAAUUAAAUAAACGGCUGUACAAAUACCUGA